rnacentral:rRNA from 1 species
AGAGUUUGAUCCUGGCUCAGGACGAACGCUGGCGGUGUGCUUCACACAUGCAAGUCGAACGGAGUAGCAAUACUCAGUGGCGGACGGGUGAGUAACACGUGGGAAUCUACCAUUAGGUGGGGAAUAACAGGCCGAAAGGACUGCUAAUGCCGCAUAUGUAGGCAUCUCGACAGAGAUGUUUAUGAAAGGAGUAAUCCGCCUUUUGAUGAGCCCGCGUCCGAUUAGCUAGUUGGUAGGGUAAAAGCCUACCAAGGCGACGAUCGGUAGGUGGUCUGAGAGGAUGAUCACCCACAAUGGGACUGAGACACGGCCCAUACUCCUACGGGAGGCAGCAGUGGGGAAUUUUACGCAAUGGGGGAAACCCUGACGUAGCGACACCGCGUGAGCGAAGAAGCCCUUUGGGGUGUAAAGCUCUGUCAACAGGAACGAAACAAAUGACGGUACCUGUGGAGGAAGCAUCGGCUAACUACGUGCCAGCAGCCGCGGUAAGACGUAGGAUGCAAGCGUUGUCCGGAUUUAUUGGGCGUAAAGAGUUCGUAGGCGGUUUGUUAAGUCUGAUGUUAAAGACCGGGGCUCAACCUCGGGAAUGCAUUGGAUACUGGCAGACUGGAGUGCAGUAGAGGCUAGUGGAAUUCCCAGUGUAGCGGUGAAAUGCGUAGA